rnacentral:rRNA from 1 species
UUCCGGUUGAUCCUGCCGGACCUGACUGCUAUCGGAUUGAUACUAAGCCAUGUUAAUCUUUGUAGUAAUACAAGGCAUACGGCUCAGUAACACGUAGUCAACCUAACUUAUGGACGGGGAUAACUUCGGGAAACUGAUGAUAAUACCCGAUAGGUCAUUAUACCUGGAAUGGUUUAUGACUAAAAUGAAUUUCGCCAUAGGGUGGGACUGCGGCCUAUCAGCUUGUUGGUGAGGUAAUGGCGCACCAAGGCUAUAACAGGUACGGGCUCUGAGAGGAGUAGCCCGGAGAUGGGUACUGAGACAAGGACCCAGGUCCUAUGGGACGCAGCAGGCGAGAAAACUUUGCAAUGUGCGAAAGCACGACAAGGUUAAUCCGAGUGUUUCCUGCUAAAGGAAUCUUUUGUUAGUCAUAAAACCACUAAUGAAUAAGGGGUGGGGCAAGUUCUGGUGUCAGCCGCCGCGGUAAAACCAGCACCUCAAGUGGUCAGGAGGAUUAUUGGGCCUAAAGCAUCCGUAGCCUGUUUUGUAAGUCUUCGGUUAAAUCCACAUGCUUAACAUGUGGGCUGCCGGAGAUACUGCAAAACUAGGGAGUGGGAGAGGUAGACGGUACUUGAUAGGAAGGGGUAAAAUCCUUUGAUCUAUUGAUGACCACCUGUGGCGAAGGCGGUCUACCAGAACACGUUCGACGGUGAGGGAUGAAAGCUGGGGGAGCAAACCGGAUUAGAUACCCGGGUAGUCCCAGCUGUAAACGAUGCAGACUCGGUGAUGCAUUGGUUUAUUGCCAGUGCAGUGCCGCAGGGAAGCCGUUAAGUCUGCCGCCUGGGAAGUACGUACGCAAGUAUGAAACUUAAAGGAAUUGGCGGGGGAGCACCACAAGGGGUGAAGCCUGCGGUUCAAUUGGAGUCAACGCCGGG